UCCGGUUUGUCACUUAGCCAUGCAGCACCUGUGCAGGGCCCCGAAGGACACGGGCUUUCACCCGCUUUACCCUGCAUGUCAAGCCCAGGUAAGGUUCUUCGCGUUGCAUCGAAUUAAGCCACAUGCUCCGCCGCUUGUGCGGGUCCCCGUCAAUUCCUUUGAGUUUUAGCCUUGCGGCCGUACUCCCCAGGCGGGGUGCUUAAUGCGUUAGCUUCGGCACGGAGAGGGUUGAAGACCUCCCCACACCUAGCACCCAACGUUUACGGCUGGGACUAC
rnacentral:misc_RNA from 1 species